GACGAAGGAUGCAAGCGUUAUCCGGAUUCAUUGGGUUUAAAGGGAGCGUAGGCGGCCUUGUAAGUCAGUGGUGAAAUCUCGCAGCUUAACUGCGAAACUGCCAUUGAUACUGCAGGGCUUGAGUACAGAUGCUGUGGGCGGAAUAUGACAUGUAGUGGUGAAAUACAUAGAGAUGUCAUAGAACACCGAUUGCGAAGGCAGCUCACAAAAACUGUAACUGACGCUGAGGCUCGAAAGUGUGGGGAUCAAACAGG
rnacentral:rRNA from 1 species